rnacentral:rRNA from 1 species
GGGCCCGCACAAGCAGCGGAGCAUGUGGUUUAAUUCGAAGCAACGCGAAGAACCUUACCUAGACUUGACAUCUCCUGAAUUACCUUUAAUCGGGGAAGUCCCUUCGGGGACAGGAAGACAGGUGGUGCAUGGUUGUCGUCAGCUCGUGUCGUGAGAUGUUGGGUUAAGUCCCGCAACGAGCGCAACCCUUAUUGUUAGUUGCUACCAUUUAGUUGAGCACUCUAGCGAGACUGCCCGGGUUAACCGGGAGGAAGGUGGGGAUGACGUCAAAUCAUCAUGCCCCUUAUGUCUAGGGCUACACACGUGCUACAAUGGCCGGUACAAAGAGAUGCUAAACCGUGAGGUGGAGCUAAACUAUAAAACCGGUCUCAGUUCGGAUUGUAGGCUGAAACUCGCCUACAUGAAGCUGGAGUUGCUAGUAAUCGCGAAUCAGCAUGUCGCGGUGAAUACGUUCCCGGGCCUUGUACACACCGCCCGUCACACCAUGAGAGUUGGCAAUACCCAAAGUUGGUGAUCUAACCUCGCAAGAGGAGGAAGCCACCUAAGGUAGGGUCAGCGAUUGGGGUGAAGUCGUAACAAGGUAGCCGUAGGAGAACCUGCGGCU